rnacentral:rRNA from 1 species
UACGAAGGGUGCUAGCGUUGUUCGGAAUCACUGGGCGUAAAGGGCGCGUAGGCGGCUCGACAAGUCAGAGGUGAAAUCCCAGGGCUCAACCCUGGAAUUGCCUUUGAAACUGUCGAGCUUGAGUGUCGGAGGGGAUAGCGGAAUUGCUAAUGUAGAGGUGAAAUUCGUAGAUAUUAGCAGGAACACCGGUGGCGAAGGCGGCUAUCUGGACGACAACUGACGCUGAGGCGCGAAAGCGUGGGGAUCAAACAGG